CAGUCGCCGCGGGAAUACGAAGGGGGCUAGCGCUGCUCGGAAUUACUGGGCGUAAAGGGAGCGUAGGCGGAUCGUUAAGUUGGGGGUGAAAGCCCGGGGCUCAACCUCGGAAUUGCCUUCAAUACUGGCGAUCUUGAGUAUGGAAGAGGUAUGUGGAACUCCGAGUGUAGAGGUGAAAUUCGUAGAUAUUCGGAAGAACACCAGUGGCGAAGGCGACAUACUGGUCCAUUACUGACGCUGAGGCUCGAAAGCGUGGGGAGCAACCAGGAUUAGAUACCCGUGUAGUCCCUGUCUCUUAUAC
rnacentral:rRNA from 1 species